GCCGGGGAGCUCGGUUGUGAGGAGAGGGAACU
rnacentral:tRNA from 1 species